rnacentral:rRNA from 1 species
GCAAGUCGAACGGUAACAGGAAGUAGCUUGCUACUUUGCUGACGAGUGGCGCACGGGUGCGUAACGCGUAUACAAUCUACCUUUUACAGGGGGAUAGCCUUUAGAAAUGAAGAUUAAUACCCCAUGGUAUUAAGAGUAUGCAUAUACUUUUAAUUAAAGCUUCGGCGGUAGAAGAUGAGUAUGCGUUCUAUUAGCUAGAUGGUGUGGUAACGGCACACCAUGGCAACGAUAGAUAGGGGCCCUGAGAGGGGGAUC